UACGGGGGGAGCAAGCGUUGUUCGGAUUUACUGGGCGUAAAGGGCGCGUAGGCGGUCACCGCAUUUCGACUGUGAAAUCUCCGGGCUUAACCCGGAAAGGUCAGCCGAUACUGCGGGGCUAGAGUGCAGAAGGGGCAACUGGAAUUCUCGGCGUAGCGGUGAAAUGCGUAGAUAUCGAGAGGAACACCUGCGGCGAAGGCGGGUUGCUGGGCUGACACUGACGCUGAAGCGCGAAAGCUAGGGGAGCGAACGGG
rnacentral:rRNA from 1 species